CUCACUGAGAAAACAGUCUACGGCAAAAAGAUGGGCAAAGCCUCCGCUGGUGAUAUUUGAGGGAAAGGGCUAACCUGAGUCACAGGCCUGGGUCCUCCUCGCCGUCUUUCUGAGGGGUGGAGAACCUGUCCAGGGGCCGCGGAAAUUCGAGGUCUUUGGCUGACCGGCAUUCGCACCUGCUUUGAUGCGAGAGGAAAGUUAUUAAAUGAGUCUAAGUUUGCGGGAAUGGAGAGACCAGGACACUUGGAGUCUCCAGGCUGAUCCUGUAGGGGAGGGGGGAAACCUCAUCUUUUUUCAGCUGUUACCUGGUUAGGUGCUAAUGGGUGUUACUAACCAAGAGAAUCAAAAUGGUAACUUGUCCACUCUAGAAAUCGCUUAGCCGGGAAGUAAGGGAGAAAUACAUCAAUACGCUGCUUGUUAGGACACAGAGGAGGUUUAAGGAAAGUGCCGUAAGACAUUUUGGAGAGUGUUUGGAAGCUUCAUAUGCAGCAUUAAUUAGUGUCUAUGCUAUGCAAGGCAGGUGUUGGGAACUACAGACAUUGGACCCUAGGCUCCAAUCCUGUUAAAGAAAGUUAAACCCCAGCUCUCAAAUACUGUGAUUCUGGAGUUCCAUUGUGGCUCAGCAAUAACAAACUGGAUUAUCCAUGAGGAUGCGGGUUCGAUCCUUAGCCUCAGUGGGUUAAGGGUGGGGAGCUGCCAUCAGCUGUGGUGUAGGUUGCAGAUUGCGGCUCAGAUCUGGCCUUGCUGUGGCUGUGGGUAGGCCAGCAACUACAGCUCUGAUUUGACCCCUAGCCUGGCAGCUUCCAUAUACUGCCCACGUAGCCCUUUAAAAAAAAAAAAAAAAAAAAUACUGUCAUUCUAAGGAGCCUACUGCUUAUUUCGGAAAACAAAAUACAUCAAGAUGUUUGAGUCUGGAGUUCCUUUCCUGGCUCAGCAGAAACGAACUGGAUUAGGAUCCAUGUGGAUGCGAGUUUGAUCCUUGACCUUGCUCAGUGGGUUAAGGAUCCAGCUUUGCGGUCAGCUGGGGUGUAGGUUGCAGACAAGGCUCAGACCCCAAGUUGCAGUGGUGUGGUGAAGGCCAGCAGCUACAACUCCAAUUCCACUGGUAGCCUCUUUUUAGGGCUGCUCCCGCGGCAUAUGGAGGUUCCCAGACUAGAGGUUGAAAUCUGAGCUGCAGCUGCCCGGCCUACAGCACAGCCAUAGUAACGCCAGAUCCUUAACCCACUGAGUGAGGCCAGGGAUAGAACCUGCUUCCUCAUGGAUACUAGACAGGUUCGUUUCUGCUGAGCCACUAUGGGAACUCUGAUUUUCUUUUUCAACCCUUUAAAAAUGUAAAAAUCAUUCUUGAAGGCCAUGCAAAGAUUAGUGGUUGCAGAAAGUUUACCAAUCUCUGACCUAGGUAAUCCAGAGUGUAGAGGGAAGGUAGGUCAUAAAUAAUGGUGGCACUAAUUAUCAGGCUAAUUGUUUUUGACUUAUUUCUAUGACAGUGGGAAGCUAUUGAAGUUUUUUUGAAUGGGAGUAACAUUUGUGUUCUAAAAAGAUUAAUUUGGCAACAACAUAAGAUGAACUGAAAAUGGAACUGAAUUGAAGAUAGGCAUUUAAAAGUCUGCAACCUGAAAAAACUGGCAAUUUCCCCUAUCAAGUGCUGUGAGAAAAACUGCCUUUCACACAAGAAAUUUCUGAAAAUUCAAAUCCAUUGCAUCAUAAUUUAUAGUUUAUUUACUACUCCCAUUGGAUAUAUUUCAAAGGAUUUCAUGUUAGUGUAGCUCUGGAAGUGGCUCCUCAGAAGUUUCACAGAUAACUUGUAAUCUGGUUUUAUCCAUGCCUUUAAUCUCAUCCAUUAGCUGAUGGGAGCUAACUGUAUCAGAUCUCUUUUUCAAAUUCAUCAAAAAGUUCUGUAUCCAGUAGGGAGCAAAAUCUAGAUUCAAACAUGUAUGGUUAGGGUUUUGGGGAGAGAAGUCUGCCACCUGAAUUGGCAGAAAGAAAGUACUUGGUAUUAGAUUCAUUUCACAACUUUAAUUUUUUUUGGGGGGGGCUGCACUCCGGCAUAUGGAAGUUCCCAGGCCAGGGAUCAAAUCUGAGCCGCAGCUGGAACCUACACCAGAGUUGUGGCAAUGACAGAUCCUUAAUGACAGAUCCACAGUGGGAACGCCAGACAAAUUUAAUCUUAACAGUUUCCUGAGAGAGAAAUUCCUAGGCCUAUUUCAAAAACUAAUAAAAAGGAACAAAGAAACAAUUUGUCAGGUUUUUUUUUCCCCCCUUUUUUGGCCUCUCUGAGGUAUAUGGAGUUCCCUGGCCAGGGAUCAGAUCUGAACUUCUGUUGCUAUCUAGGCUACAGCUGCAGCAACGCCAGAUCCUUAACCCAUUGUGCUGAGCCAGGGAUUGAACCUGUGUCUCAGUGCUCCCAGGAGGCUGCUGAUCCCAUUGCAAUACAACAGGAACUCCAACGAUUUGUCAGUUUUGUUUUUUGGGUUUUUUUUUUUCUUUUUAGGGCCGCACCCAUGGCAUACAGAAGUUCCCAGGCUAGGGAUCGAAUUGGAGCCACAGCUCCUGGCCUAUGCCACAGCCACAGUAAAGCCAGAUCCAAGAUAAUGUCUGCAACCUACACCACAGCUCAUGGCAAUGCCAGAUCCUUAACCCACUGAAUGAGGCCAGGGAUAGAACCUGAAACCUCAUGGUUCCUAGUCGGGUUGUUUCUGCUUCGCCACAACGGGAACUCCAAUUUGUCAGUUUUAAUUGUAGCAUACACCGUCUCCCUGAGGACUGAAUUUAAAAGUGUCUGUGGUCACUAAUAGCAAAAAGAAAAAAAAAAUUUUAUUUAUUUUUUUUUGUCUUUUCUGGGGCUGCACCCGAGGUGUAUGGAGGUUCCCAGGCUAGGGCUCGAAUUGGAGCUACAGCUGCCGGACUACACCACAGCUCACAGCAAUGCCAGAUACUUAACCCACUGAGCGAGGCCAGGGAUCAAACCCGAAACCUCAUGGUUCCUGGUCAGAUUCGUUAACCACUGAGCCAUGACGGGAACUCCAGCAAAAAGAAAAUUUUAUAGAUGAACAUGAGCAAUUUGAAAAAAAAUUUUUAGGGAGUUCCCGUUAUGGCUCAGUGGAAACGAAUCUGACUAGGAUCCCUGAGGAUACAAGUUCAAUCCCUGCCCUUGUUCAGUGGGUUAAAGAUCCAGCAUUGCCGGAGCUGUGGUGUAGGCAGAAGACAUGGCUUGGAUCUGGUGUUGCUGUGGUUGUGGCAUAGGCUGGCAGCUGCAGCUCCGAUUUGACCCCUAGCUUGGGAACUUCCAUAUGCUGAGGGUGCAGCC
rnacentral:lncRNA from 1 species